CCUGCUCGUCCCACUGCU
rnacentral:misc_RNA from 1 species